GAAAAGUGUUUCCCCUGGUUCUGUGUUGGGUGGGGGGCCAAGGGGCGCGAGAGGCUGUUUCUCCUCGGGGUGGAAGCUGUUGCUUUGUAAAGCCCUUGGAGCAGCAGUGGGAAACUGAGCAAGCCAUGAAGCUGGUCUUAACAAGCUCCUGUUUUAAUACAUGGUGGAGUUCUUCCCUAUCUGACCUAAGAAAAGAAAGUGCAACCUAAGCAGGGGGGUCUUUUGGCUGUGAGGUCAUAGGUCAGCUGCAGGAUUUAGGCAACAAAAGCACAGGGAUGAAAAUUUACUCUUUGGCAAAGAGCAGUUAGUUGUAGAGAGAGAAGUGAAGGGCGUUUUGUGCUGAUGGGAAAGAAGUUAGCAUGUGCAUAAUGGCAUCCUUCAAAACACACAGAUGCUGUGACUGGUGAGAAUAUAGAAGCAGCAUUAUGAUACUGUGGCAGCUGCUUGCCUAAUGGAGUGUCCACUAGAGGCUGGGAAGCAGCUGAAUCACAGCCCUGCUGAAGAGGAUGGGACUUACAGUGGCUGCCAAGUUGAAUGUGGGCCAGGAGAGUGUUCUCUCUGCAAAUAAGUCAGCCUGCAGGCUGGGCUCCAUCAUGAAAUAUGUGGCCAGCGAAUGCAAGGAUGCUUUGGGUACACAGCUCUGCUGCUCACAACCUGCUCAUGAAGCUGUAUGUGGACUCAACUCUGGUAGCUAAACGUUUCUGAGUCUUGUUUCUCAGCAAACCCCAAAUGUGAGCAAACUCCAAGUGUUAUUUCUUUCAGAAAAAGAUAUUACAUGUAAAUACCUCCUU